GAAACAUAAUAAAAGUAGAUAAACACAUAAAUCAUAUAUAGUACAUAAUACAUAAGCAUGAUAUUUAGAUGCAAAGAUCCUAAGAAAAACGAGUAAACACAUAAGCAUGCAAGCACACAAGCGAACAAAAACAAAUAGAGACCUAACUAUUACAUUUGGGAACCCUAAAUACAAUCUAAAGCGGUAAAAAAUGAAAUAAAAUAAUAAUUUAACUAUUACAAUUUGACAUUCAAUUGCCUCUCAAAUAAUCAUCAAAAUUAAAUCAAAUAUAUGAAACUUAAAGCAAAUAAAACCAAAUAACUAAAAGAAAAUCACUCAAAACAUGCAAAUUCACACAUGAAAACACAUAAAAGCACAUAAGAAAAUUUAAAAUAAAACAAGAAGAUACCUCCCUCGAAGUAGUAGCUAAUUGGGUUUGGAUUUGCCUAUUUAACUCCAAAAUUAAGAAAAAUCAUCAAGGCACCAAUUUAUUUAACAAAUAAACUAUAAAAAUAGAAAUAAACAUGAAAUCAAUCAAUUGAAUCAUUCAAAUGGAAUAUAAUUCAUAAAUAAAGAAGAAAAACAACUUCUAUUUGAGAAAUAAAAUCUGCCAAGGACCUAAUUACAAAGAUUAACAAAGUUUUAGGGUCAAAUUAUAAUUAUCAUAAAAAUAAGGGCCCAAAUUAAAAAAAAUAAAAUUUAUGGACCUAUUUGUAAUUAAAUCAGGGAUCUAAAUGAAAGAAACAUAAAGUAUUUAGAGCCACAAUAUAAUUACUCAAAAGUAUAGGGACUGUUCUGAAAAUUUGUCACCAAAUCACUUAAGGAAUUGGGCCAUCGGGCCAUAUUUUUUAUUUCCUUGGGCUAAAGCCUCCAAAACCGAAUCGAAAGUCCAAAGUAAAAGGAGCGGGCUAGUCUAUUAUUUUGACCCAAAAUUAGCAAACAGAACGGUUGGGUUUUGACCCCUCAGCCCAAGCCAAAAACCCAAAACAAAUAAACCAAACCCACUCUUACAAACCCAACCAAUAUUAUUACCCAAAAACCUAAACCAUAAUACUAAACCCAACAAGAUAAACAAAUCAACUAAAAUUAUUAAACCACAAUUAUGAUCUAAAAUCCAGAAUUAAUCUACCAAAAAUCUACUUAAAAAAAAUGAUUAAAAUUUAAAAGGGUGGAAUGGAAUCAAUUGCAAAACUGUUUGGGUUAUAGUGAAAUUAAUUAAAAAAUGAGGGGCAAAAUACAAUUUUGGAACAUGCAGCCUGUACGAAGAAGCUUUCUUCUCGUCAGCAAUCCGAAACUCUUCGCAGCUGGUGGCUAUGACGGCUUCUGGCAGCACCACCGCCGGCAAAUUUUUCGGUCACAAAAUUUCAUCAAAAUACACACCCUCACUCGAUUUUUCACGUAAAUUUCAUUUCCAGAAUUAUUUUUUACAAAAAAUGAAUCAAUAGUGGCGAAAUUGCCAAAUUACAGUCACGAUUUUUAUUUUUUAAACACACUACAAUCGCCACGGAAAAUAGUAAAAUUCAUACCAAAACACUACUUGUGAUUUCGACAAUCCAACAUGGCCAAAAUUAGCAGAAUAAUCCAAUUUAAUUCAACUCUAUUAUUUUUUUCUUCUUUUUGCAUUUGUCAAAUAUUUAAUAUGCAUAUACAAAAAAUUAUUUCCUUUUCCUUAAUCUAAUUCAUGUUAUUUCACAAAUUUCAGCAAUACAAAACAACAAUAAAAAAACAGCAAAAGCAAGAUAAAUUAAAACCAAAAUACAUCUAAUAUGCUAAAAAAAAUUAGAAAAUACCUCAAUGAGAGUGAAAUUACCUUGACUGAAAUUUCUCUGAUGCCUGUGAAUGUGUUGGGAAAAUAUUAGGAGAGAAAAGGUUGAGGGAAGUUUUUUUUUUCUUUCUUCUCUGGCUUUUCUGUCUAGUUGUGAGAGGGAGAGAAAUGACGAGCCAGAGAGAUUGAGUGUAUAAUCUGGAGCAAGGGUGGAGUUUUUUUUUCUUGCUUCCUUUUUUUUUUUUGUCUGUCCAGUCCGCAAAGAAAUGGCCGAGAGAGGUCUUAAAGGCAAUCUUAGGAGCCCUUCUUUGCAAUUUUUUUUCUUGGAUCCGUUGCCUCUUUUUUCUUUCCAUUGCUUCCUUCCUUUCUCUCUCG
rnacentral:lncRNA from 1 species